GAUGAACGCUGGCGGCGUGCUUAACACAUGCAAGUCGAACGAAGCAACUUAUUACGAUCCCUUCGGGGUGACGAUUUGUUGACUGAGUGGCGGACGGGUGAGUAACGCGUGGGUAACCUACCUUGUACAGGGGGACAACAGUUGGAAACGACUGCUAAUACCGCAUAAGCGCACAGUAUCGCAUGAUACAGUGUGAAAAGUUUUUUCGGUACAAGAUGGACCCGCGUCUGAUUAGCUAGUUGGUGAGGUAACGGCUCACCAAGGCGACGAUCAGUAGCCGACCUGAGAGGGUGACCGGCCACAUUGGGACUGAGACACGGCCCAAACUCCUACGGGAGGCAGCAGUGGGGAAUAUUGCACAAUGGGCGCAAGCCUGAUGCAGCGACGCCGCGUGAGCGAAGAAGUAUUUCGGUAUGUAAAGCUCUAUCAGCAGGAAGAUAAUGACGUAC
rnacentral:rRNA from 1 species